CACCACACAGCUAGCCUUACAACCUAAAGACAACAAACAAACAUUAAUUACCCCCAACAACCCAAAUGCAAGUCGAAACAAAACAUUUUUCCCCCCUAGUAUAGGCGAUAGAAAAGGGCCUUAGAGCGAUAGAUAUAGUACCGCAAGGGAACACUGAAAGAGAAAUGAAAUAACUCAGCAAAGUAAUAAAAAGCAGAGAUUUUAACUCGUACCUUUUGCAUCAUGGUUUAGCCAGUACCCCCAAGCGAAGAGCCCUACAGUUUGAACCCCCGAAACUAAGCGAGCUACUCCAAGACAGCCUAUCAUAGGGCAAACCCGUCUCUGUGGCAAAAGAGUGGGGAGAGCUUUGAGUAGAAGUGAAAAGCCUACCGAGCCUAGUCAUAGCUGGUUGCCUGGAAAUUGGAUAAAAGUUCAGCCUCCAGGCUUUUCCGAUCACAUUUCUUUUUUCUAUCUGAUCUCGGUUGUCAACAAAAACCUGGGGAGUUAAUCAAAGGGGGUACAGCCCCUUUGAUACAAGAUACAACUUUUUUAAGAGGAUAAAGAUCCUACCAAGACAUUAAGGCAUCAUACUUAGGUAGGCCUAAAAGCAGCCAACCUUACAGAAAGCGUUAAAGCUCGAGUAUAACUAACCCUAUAAAUACUAACAAUUAUUUCUUAUUCCCUUGUACAUACCAGGCCCUCCCAUGCAAACAUGGAAGAGAUAAUGCUAAUAUGAGUAAUAAGAGGGCUACACCCCCCUCUCCCUGCACAAGUGUAAAUUGGAACGGACCCCCCACCGAACUUUAACGGUCCCAAACAAAGAGGGUAGUGAGAAAGACACCAAAAACUGGAAAACCCCCCAAAACCCACCGUUAACCCCACACUGGCGUGCUUCAAGGGAAAGACUAAAAGAAAGAGAAGGAACUCGGCAAACACAUAAAGCCUCGCCUGUUUACCAAAAACAUCGCCUCUUGCAUAAAACGAAUAAGAGGUCCCGCCUGCCCAGUGACUACAAGUUCAACGGCCGCGGUAUUUUGACCGUGCGAAGGUAGCGUAAUCAUUUGUCUUUUAAAUUAAGACCAGUAUGAAAGGUGAGACGAGGGCUUAGCUGUCUCCUCCCUCCAGUCAAUGAAAUUGAUCCCCCCGUGCAGAAGCGGGGAUUUUAACAUAAGACGAGAAGACCCUGUGGAGCUUUAGACACUCGGGCAGACUAUGUCAAGUACCCCUAAUAAAGGUGAAAACAGAGUAUGCUACUGUCCCAAUGUCUUCGGUUGGGGCGACCAUGGGGAAAUAAGAAACCCCCAAAGUGGAAUGGAAACAGACCCUUUUCUACAACUGAGAGUACCCCCUCUAGCUAACAGAACUUCUGACCACCAAGACCCGGCAAGGCCGAUCCACGGACCAAGUUACCCCAGGGAUAACAGCGCAAUCCCCUUUUAGAGACCCUAUCGCCAAGGGGGCUUACGACCUCGAUGUUGGAUCAGGACAUCCUAAUGGUGUAACCGCUAUUAAGGGUUCGUUUGUUCAACGAUUAAAGUCCUACGUGAUCUGAGUUCAGACCGGAGCAAUCCAGGUCAGUUUCUAUCUAUGGUGUGAUCUUUUCUAGUACGCAAGGACCGGGAAGAAGGAGUCAAUGUUUAUAACACACCCCACCCUUACCUAAUGAAAACAACUAAAAUAGGCAAAAGGGCAUUACACCCCCGCCUGAAAUAACGGCAU
rnacentral:rRNA from 1 species